rnacentral:tRNA from 1 species
GCCCGGUUAGCUCAAUCGGUAGAGCGUGUGGCUGUAAGUUACCAUUGCAUCACAGCAAUCUUGUCGUUCCCCAGCUAAUUCCUCCCAGUUUAUAAAAUGCACACCUCAAGGUUGCGAGUUCGAGCCUCGCAUCGGGCG